rnacentral:lncRNA from 1 species
CUCUCUUUCUCCUUCCUUCCUUCCUUCUCCCUCCUCCUCCUCCUUCUUCUUCUUCUUCCUCUUCUUCUUUCCCUCCCUCCCUCCCUGCCUUCCUUUCUCUCUUUCUCUCUCUCUCCUUCUUCUCCCUCUCUCUCUCUCUCCUUCUCUCUCCCUCUCUCUCUCUCUCCUUCUUCUCCCUCUCUCUCUCUCUCCUUCUCUCUCCCUCUCUCUCUCCUUCUCUCUCCCUCUCCUUCUCUCUUUCUUUCUUUUUUUGACAGAGUUUCACUCUUCUUGCCCAGGCUGGAGUGCAAUGGCCUGGUCUUGGCUCACUGCAACCUCUGUGUCUUGGGUUCAAGCGAUUCUCCUGUCUCAGUCUCCUGAGUAGCUGGGAUUACAGGCAUGCGGCAACACGCCCAGCUAAUUUUUGUAUUUUUAGUAGAGAUAGGGUUUCACCAUGUUGGCCAGGCUGGUCUCGAGCUCCCGACCUCAGGUGAUCCGCCCACCUCUGCCUCCCAAAGUGCUGGGAUUACAGGCGUGAACCAUCGUGGCCUGGGCAAAUUCUACCUUUCCCUUGAGAAAAGCAAGAAAACCGAGGAAUGCAAGUCCUGUUAAAUGAUCAGACCCAGAGAGACAUUGAAGUGAGCCAGCCCUGGCAUCCUCCUUCACCCCCAGCUGCACAUUCAUCUAUUGAAGCUGCCUGCUGCUGCCACAGGUCAACACCGUCACCACUCAACUGAUAUCUUACUGCUUUUAUGAAGCCUUCCUUGAUUCCUCCGGCGGGGUGAUACCUCUCAGUAUCUUCCAUGGUAUGUUGAUGAAGAAAGACAUCUCAAUUUCCCUCUGAAUCUCCAGCUUCAGGGCAUGGUGGGCCAUUUGAAGACUUCUGGAGUCAAGAGAUAAAGGGAAGCAUUAGUUCCAUUGGGUCCUGUUUGAUCUUUAUACCAUCAACACGGAGCUCAGAGCUUCCCUGCUUCCCUUUCGCUCCUCAAGGUCACCAGAAGGACGUGGGCUUUUUGAUGUUCAAAGAAAGUCUGAAAGCCUCGCCUGGUCUUCUGAGCCUGAGCGUGCUGUUGGCAGGCUCUUCUGAAUCAAGUUGGGGCAGAGGAGGAUUCCUCGUCUCUUUCUGAGGCAGAUCCCACAGUCGUUAGGAGCUGGAUGAGCACGUUCUUUAAUAGAUUUCCUUUUUAUUUUUCUGGGUCUCAUCUGAAAUUUUUGACCCUUGCACGUCUCCAUUCUCUCAACCUUCUUUCUGACCAGAAAAUUCCUUCUGUAAUUUUGGCUACACAAGAGUAUCAAGGAAUGCUUAGGGGGCAAACAGAGUACUUCGAGAACAGCAUGCAUUCGGGCCAAGCUCCCAAGGCCAUGCUGAGCAUACGUCUCCAGCUCACAGCUUCGGGAAGCUGAGAGGAACAGAGGUCCUCAAUCUCAGAAAGAAAUAAAAGCAGAUCAGGGAAUCACCUCUCCCUUUUCCCUUAGUGAAAUAUUUUAAUGAGUUUUGAGGCUGUCUCUGUGUGUAUGAAAUGCCAGGAGUCUGCAUCUCAGCUGUUAUGACCAGAGGUCUUCUCUUGGGUGCUGGUGAGGACUGAGGACUAGCUGGCUUCAGGAAAGCUGCUUCAGCUGCUUUUCCUGCCAGCCACACAGCAGGAACAAGAAACAACUUUGGCUGGGCAUGGUGGCUCACGCCUGUAAUCCCAGCACUUUGGGAAGCCGAGCCAGGAGGAUCAGGAGGUCAGGAGUUCAAGACCAGCCUGGCCAUCAUAGUGAAACCCCAUCUCUACUAAAAAUACAAAAAAUUACCUGGGCCUGGUGGCGGGCGCCUGUAAUCCCAGCUACUCGGGAGGCCGAGGCAGGAGAAUCACUUGAAGCCAGGAGGCGGAGGUUUCAGUAAGCAGAGAUCACACCACUGCACUCCAGCCUGGAUGACAGUGCGAGACUCCAUUUCAAAAGAGAAAAAAAAGAAAAAGAAAAAGAAAAAGAAACAACUUUGCAGUUGUUUUUUUGCAGUUGUUGCACUGAGAGGAGUAGGAGGUAAGAGAGAGAGGGGGCAUGUGUUAGUUUGCCUGCUGUCACUCAGUGACUUGGAGGAAUGGAGAUUUAGGUCAAGGAUACAUUUCCAAGAAGGGAGACAAUAUGUCACAGUAUCCCCAGAACGAGCCAUGGGGCUGGGCUCAGAGACAUGGGAGCAUAGCUUGGGAACUUAAAGACACAACUCAAGUCACUAGGUUCUCUGACUCCCUCCGUCCCAGCCUCUGCAUUUAUUGGUCCCUUACAAUUAUGGUGACUCAGAAUGUCUCAGUUUCUACUUCUAGCACUCAGGACACAGCUCACUGGUGAUCUGAUUCUCCACCCUUUGCAUAUGUUUGUUUCUGUUGCUCUGAUCUUUGGCUUACUCAUGGCGUCUACCUACUUUUGGGCCUUCAUGGCCUGUCUUCCUUCUGUGUGAUUUUCAGUACUCUUUGGCUCCCACUCCCACAAUUAGCUGUUGAUUCUUUUUUCCUGUACCUUCUGUUUAAGUUCAAUAGAAAGAUAAUUUGAUUGGUUGGAGUGAAUCAUCACUAGCCUUCCUGCUCUUUGGUUAUGAGGUACUUCAUAGGUCCAACCUAUAGAGUUGGUCAACCUUGGGGCAGGAGCUCGCCCUAACUCCAACCAGCUUGGCCAGAGGCACCAACACGCUGGUCAAAGCAGGACAGCACAUAGAAGAUUUGAGAAAUGAUCUGCUUAAUGCAAUGGGUUUUAGGGGAUGACAGUUCUUUCACUUUGUAGCUGUGUGGCCUUGGGUGACUUCUUUAAUUUUUCUGAGCUUAUUUCUUUGCCUGUAAAAAUGUGGAUGAAGGUACUAUCUUGCAGUGAUGUGUGGAUUAGAGGUAAAUUAUCUAAAGUAUCUAAUAAACAGUGUGUG